rnacentral:rRNA from 1 species
UACGUAGGUGGCAAGCGUUGUCCGGAUUUACUGGGCGUAAAGAGCGCGCAGGCGGUCGUUCAAGUCGCGUGUGAAAGCCCCCGGCUCAACUGGGGAGGGUCACGCGAUACUGAUCGACUCGAAGGCAGGAGAGGGAAGUGGAAUUCCCGGUGUAGUGGUGAAAUGCGUAGAUAUCGUGAGGAAGACCAGUGGCGAAGGCGGGUCUCUGGACAGUUCCUGACACUGAGGCACGAAGGCCAGGGGAGCAAACGGG